rnacentral:tRNA from 1 species
GCGGGUGUAGCUCAAUGGUAGAGCCCCGGCCUUCCAAGCCGGUUGUGAGAGUUCGAUUCUCUUCACCCGCUCCA